AUUUUUGUUUCACCAACUGGUGCCGUCUGUGAGAAUUAUGGGCUAGGGCGUGAGGUUCUUUUUCAUUUCGGUAACACAAUUUUAGAGGAGGACGAGAUCUGAUCAGAAAUUGGGCCGGCAAUUCGCGAAAGGAGAUCCAGGGAUUUUGGGUAUCACAAGAUCAUCUUCAUUGGUUCCAUCAUAGAGGAAGGAAGCUAAGUCGAAAAAAAAAAAAACAAACAAAAGAGAGAUUGCCGGCAAUUUCUGAGAAAGGGAAGAAGAAGGGGAAACCCCAACAGUCAAUUUUUUUAUUUCGCUUCCUAAAUUCUCGGGAGUGUAAUUAAUGCCAAUAUUUACCUCUCAAUUUUUUUAAUUCCACCGAGAUGAAUAACAGCCAAAAUACCAUCUUUUAUUUUACUUUUCUUUCGCGGUGAACAAAACUAGGGCUUCUUCAGAUUUGGUCGAGCGGUGAAGACGAAGAUCAUCGUGGUAAACAAGCUGUGUGAAAAGAGUGAAUGUGGUUGAAAAAGAGGUGAAAAUAGCGAGUUCAUCGAAAACAUGGAGGUCUAUUGUUAUUAAUGUUGUAUUUUUUUUGUUUAAAGUUCUGAUCCUAUGAGUUGAUUCUAUGCAAAUGGAUGUGGAAAAAGAAUUCUCUUUUUGUUGGUUUUGUUUUUAUGAGAAUGUAUUUUUUCUUUUGUGUUC